GACGAACGCUGGCGGCGUGCUUAACACAUGCAAGUCGAACGAAGAGCGAUGGAAGCUUGCUUCUCUCAAUCUUAGUGGCGAACGGGUGAGUAACGCGUAAUCAACCUGCCCUUCAGAGGGGGACAACAGUUGGAAACGACUGCUAAUACCGCAUACGAUCUAAUCUCGGCAUCGAGGAUAGAUGAAAGGUGGCCUCUACAUGUAAGCUGUCACUGAAGGAGGGGAUUGCGUCUGAUUAGCUAGUUGGAGGGGUAACGGCCCACCAAGGCGAUGAUCAGUAGCCGGUCUGAGAGGAUGAACGGCCACAUUGGGACUGAGACACGGCCCAGACUCCUACGGGAGGCAGCAGUGGGGAAUCUUCCGCAAUGGACGAAAGUCUGACGGAGCAACGCCGCGGGAGCGAUGACGGCCUUCGGGUUGUAAAGCUCUGUUAAUCGGGACGAAAGGCCUUCUUGCGAAUAGUGAGAAGGAUUGACGGUACCGGAAUAGAAAGCCACGGCUAACUACGUG
rnacentral:rRNA from 1 species